CGGCCCAAGGUUCUUGGGUUCGUCGGGGUCAGACCAGCUUCUCCUCACCGAUCGCCGAGCCGCACCAUGGAAUACCCGAUUCCCUUCCCUUCCGGAUGGCUUGGGAAGGUAUGAUUCGUGACGUCCGUCCUUCGCUUUUGUCAUUUUCUUCUAUUUUCUUGUUAAUGAUCUUGGAUCUUGAACUCUGAAGAGAAGGAUUUUAUGUAGAUCAAGAAAAGCGGCUCGUGAGAUUGUUUUUUUUUUUUCCUUGGCUGGAGGAUAUCUGGCCGAUAAAAUUAGGCGAGAAUGGUUGUUAACUAGUUUCUUCUUGUGAUGGAUUCCAUUUUUUCUUUAGAGAAAAAAUUUCUGAACUCCGGUGAAGGGGAAAGAUUCAAAACAGAUCGAUCCAAGCUGAUGAAGCUAAACAUAGUGGUGAUUGUACAAGGGUUUCUUCUAAGGUAAAAGUUCACCUGUUUUUGAUACUAUCUUAGGUUUUUUCUAUUUAUGCCUUUUUCUUCUGUUUCCGGUUAUUGAUCUUGGAUCUUGAACUCAUAAAAGAGAAGGAUUAAAUGUAGAUCAAGAAAAGAGGCUCAUCAAGAUAGAUCUACUUACAGUUUUAAAGCAUUUGUAACCUCAUCAAGAUAGAUCUAAAUUAGGGUUUUAAACCAUUGGUAAUUACUUUCCGGUGGUCC
rnacentral:lncRNA from 1 species